UGGGUGACUAGGCCGGGCGGCUGGGCCUCGCCUGUCACGGCAAACGGUCCAUAAUGGCCGGGCCGAAGCCCGAGGGCGGUAGACGUUAUCUUACUACCCCAACUACCCGACGAUGAAACCUCGCCUCUAUGGGUUUAGUUAUCUCCGAAUCCCCCAGGGCAGGAAUGCAGCAAGGGUAAGGAGAUAACUAAAUGCUGUAGAGAUACGGGGUUUAGAAGGGUUAGUUGGAUUAAGUAGUAAGAUAACGUCUAUCCACCGAGGGCGUGUCACCCA
rnacentral:SRP_RNA from 1 species